AUCCAAUAUGGCGGACGUCAAAGUAAAAGUCGGAAAGGUUCAGAGCUCUGGGUUCAGAGGUUCGUGGUAGAAAACUAAAAAAUAGUUGGUUAAACUCAAGAAUUGUGAUUCAUUUUGAAACCAUGCCAUUAAUGAUCAUAAGAAAAGGUUUGAAAGAUAGGUAUGUUGUCAAAAAGAGAUCAUUUGCCAAAACAUAUCGGACAAAAAUCGCUAGGAAUAUAGAGGGGCUAGGGCCCAGUGGUGAACUGGCCAAAGGGGGAAUUUGUCAGUUUGGG